UCCUGGAUGUAAAUCAAAUCUAAAUUUACCAGAGUACUAUGAAUAAUAUAAAAUUUAAAACUCAAAGGACUUGGCGGUGUUUUAGACCAUUUAGGGGAACCUGUCUCAUAAUCGAUAGUCCACGUCAUACCUAACCUUUUUUUGUCUUCAGCUUGUAUAUCGUUGUCGUCAGGUAACUUUUUAGAAACUAGAAGUUAGCUAAAAAUAGUAAAUUUAAACGUCAAAUCAAGGUGCAGUUAAUAAAAAGGGUGUAGAUGGGUUACAAUUAUUUUAGUUAUAAUUACGGAAAAUCAUAGGAAUCAGUGAUUCGAAGGAGGACUUAAAAGUAAAUUAGAUUAUAUAAAUAAUUUGAAUAAGGCUCUGAAAUGUGCACACAUCGCCCGUCGCUCUUGUUGGAAAAUAAGAUAAGUCGUAACAUAGUAGGGGUAAUGGAAAUUGUUCCUAAAUU
rnacentral:rRNA from 1 species